rnacentral:rRNA from 1 species
CAGUAGCCGCGGUAAUACAGAGGGUGCGAGCGUUAAUCGGAUUUACUGGGCGUAAAGCGUGCGUAGGCGGCUUUUUAAGUCGGAUGUGAAAUCCCUGAGCUUAACUUAGGAAUUGCAUUCGAUACUGGGAAGCUAGAGUAUGGGAGAGGAUGGUAGAAUUUCAGGUGUAGCGGUGAAAUGCGUAGAGAUCUGGAGGAAUACCGAUGGCGAAGGCAGCCAUCUGGCCUAAUACUGACGCUGAGGUACGAAAGCAUGGGGAGCAAACAGGAUUAGAUACCCCUGUAGUCCCUGUCUCUUAUAC